rnacentral:rRNA from 1 species
CCUACGGGAGGCAGCAGUGGGGAAUAUUGCACAAUGGGGGAAACCCUGAUGCAGCAACGCCGCGUGAGUGAAGAAGUAUUUCGGUAUGUAAAGCUCUAUCAGCAGGGAAGAAGAUGACGGUACCUGACCAAGAAGCCCCGGCUAACUACGUGCCAGCAGCCGCGGUAAUACGUAGGGGGCAAGCGUUAUCCGGAUUUACUGGGUGUAAAGGGAGCGCAGACGGCAGUGCAAGUCUGGAGUGAAAGCCCGGGGCUCAACCCCGGGACUGCAUUUGGAACUGGGUGGCUGGAGUGUCGGAGAGGCAGGCGGAAUGCCUAGUGUAGCGGUGAAAUGCGUAGAUAUUAGGAGGAACACCAGUGGCGAAGGCGGCCUGCUGGACGAUGACUGACGUUGAGGCUCGAAAGCGUGGGGAGCAAACAGGAUUAGAUACCCGGGUAGUC